rnacentral:rRNA from 1 species
UACGUAGGGUGCAAGCGUUAAUCGGAAUUACUGGGCGUAAAGCGUGCGCAGGCGGCUUUGCAAGACAGAUGUGAAAUCCCCGGGCUUAACCUGGGAACUGCGUUUGAAACUGGGAGACUUGAGUGUGGCAGAGGGGGGUGGAAUUCCACGUGUAGCAGUGAAAUGCGUAGAUAUGUGGAGGAACACCGAUGGCGAAGGCAGCCCCCUGGGUUAACACUGACGCUCAUGCACGAAAGCGUGGGGAGCAAACAGG